AGAGUUUGAUCCUGGCUCAGGAUGAACGCCGGCGGUGUGCCUAAUACAUGCAAGUCGAGCGCAUUGGCCCAACUGAUAUGACGUGCUUGCACUGAAUUGAUGUUGGAUUACCAGUGAGCGGCGGACGGGUGAGUAACACGUGGGCAACCUGCCCUGAAGCGGGGGAUAACAUCUGGAAACAGGUGCUAAUACCGCAUAACAACGAAAACCACAUGGUUUUCGUUUCAAAGAUGGUUUCGGCUAUCACUUCAGGAUGGGCCCGCGGUGCAUUAGCUAGUUGGUAAGGUAACGGCUUACCAAGGCAAUGAUGCAUAGCCGAGUUGAGAGACUGAUCGGCCACAAUGGAACUGAGACACGGUCCAUACUCCUACGGGAGGCAGCAGUAGGGAAUCUUCCACAAUGGGCGCAAGCCUGAUGGAGCAACACCGCGUGAGUGAAGAAGGGUUUCGGCUCGUAAAGCUCUGUUGUUGGAGAAGAACGUGCGUGAGAGUAACUGUUCACGCAGUGACGGUAUCCAACCAGAAAGUCACGGCUAACUACGUGCCAGCAGCCGCGGUAAUACGUAGGUGGCAAGCGUUAUCCGGAUUUAUUGGGCGUAAAGCGAGCGCAGGCGGUUGCUUAGGUCUGAUGUGAAAGCCUUCGGCUUAACCGAAGAAGGGCAUCGGAAACCGGGCGACUUGAGUGCAGAAGAGGACAGUGGAACUCCAUGUGUAGCGGUGGAAUGCGUAGAUAUAUGGAAGAACACCAGUGGCGAAGGCGGCUGUCUGGUCUGCAACUGACGCUGAGGCUCGAAAGCAUGGGUAGCGAACAGGAUUAGAUACCCUGGUAGUCC
rnacentral:rRNA from 1 species